GGGGGCUUUAGAUCACCCCGAAAACAGGACCUCUGGCGACCUUCUCGUUUUCCACCGGGAGCGGAGAGAGCCGAUCUCCUUUUCCUGCUAGCCCCGUAGGACAGUCCCCGGAGCAGCUCAUAGGAAUAUGACGAACGUUUACUCAGGGCUGGUUACUAUGUACACUGCGCCCCGCGCGCGGCGAGUUUACCUCGGUUCACCUCCCGGCAACCGGCGGCCCGGAUAUUAUCAGAUGCUGUGGGCUUCCCGGCGCCUCAUUGCCCGAGGAGAGGCGGCCGCAGUUGAAUUCACCAAAUAGAAGACAUUGGAAAUGAGACCCGAGGGUUGGAGGAGGAGGAAGCCUGCAAUGUGAACACGAUGGCUGGAGCUCCGGCAGCCAUUCUGGACCAGGAGGUAGCCUUGAAGAUGGAAGCCACAUGUUGGGAUGGUGAAUCCAAAAGAUGAGGAGCCUGUAUCCCCUGUGACACCAGAACUGCCAUACCAGCCCUGGGUUCCUCCAUCUAUACUGCCUUCAUAUGGUAAAGAAAUAUUCUUGGAUCUUGUUAGGUGUCUGUUGCAGCCAAACACAAUCCCAACUGAUAUUCACUGUAAAUGAUUCCAUGGCUCCCUGUAGUACUUCUAC
rnacentral:lncRNA from 1 species